GACGCGGAGGGCUUCUCUGUGCCCUGCGCGCGCCAUGCUUUCGCUCGCGCCCUGGCUUUUUCCUGACCAGUGUGCCACGGAAAAGGGAAGUGGAAAUGGAAACAAAUCUUAGGAAAUGAUUCCCGCCCACGCUGAAGAGGACGCCGGUUUCGUUUCUGAGUUACAACACCGACAGACAACUGUUUCUCAAUUCUACAGUGCCCUCGCGAAGGAAACGCUUGGAUUUGAAAUCAGAAAGUUGCCUCGCUUUCCAGUGAUCUCGUGGGCACUCCUGGUCUUUGGAAGUGCACCGGAGGAGUUUUACCUAAGAAUAUUGAGGAUUCCCGCAAAGCGCUGGAUACUAAAACAUUUUUUCCUUCUCUGAAAUGAAGUAAUUCUUGAAAUCCUGGA